rnacentral:lncRNA from 1 species
UCUCUGCAAGGAAAUCAAAGGUGACAACCGUAAGCAUAUUUUAAAUGUCUUUACCAUAUCUAGUGAAUGAAUGAUAUGAUAUUUUCUCAGUACAAGUUUCCACAGUAAAGAACUUGUGUUUGUGAAAAAUAACCUUGGCUGGUGGGUUUCCAAUUGAAAAACCCGCACACCGUCUUUUCAUCACAAGGAACAGCACCAGCUCGAAUACCAUUGCCAAAAAAUAAUAUUUUGUUCAUGGUUGAAAUUUAUAGUAAUACAUAUAUUAUAAUUAAUUUUACAUUUCUGAUAUAAUAUUUUUCUUUGUCCUUGUUAAUUUGGUGGUUCCUUUGGCAAUCCGCUUAGAACUUAGGAGGCACAAUAAGAUUGGGCCGAAUAGGGUCAAAUGGGUAGAAGGUUGGGGCAAAUUCUUCCUACACCUAAUUUUUUGAACGCACCCAAAUAUAAUUUUAAUUUUAAAAAAAUGUCAUUCAUUUCGAAAAUAAAAAUCUGAAAUUGGAAAUAAUACAUUUUGAAAAAAAAAAUUCACAUUCUGGAAAAAGAGAUCCAGAAGAAAUUAUUGUGUUCCGGAAAUAAAAAUCUGAAAAAAAAAUGAAAAUUUGAUUCCAGAUAAAAAAUUCCGCAAUACAACAGACAAUUUCUCUCUGCACCGUAUCAUUUAAAACACGCACCAACAUAAAAUUUAAAACUCAACAUUGUCCUUGGCUUCAUUUUUGCUUAUGGAUGCAGAAAUCCGGAAGUGAUUGUUAUAUAUUCCGGAUUUCAAUAUCCAAAAGGUUAUUUUCGUACUUCAUUUAAGUUUCCGGAUGACCAUAUUCAGAAUUGAGUUAUGAGUUCCGAAUUUCCAUAUCCAAAAUGGUGUGCUGUAAAUGAUGUCGAGAAUCGAGUUCUAGAACUCAUUUAUGUUUACUUACAUAUCUUGAUAUCCAGAAGUCAUUUAUGUUGUCCAUGUAAGCUUCUGAAUGACGAAAUCUAAAAGUGACAUAUUAGUUCAAAAUUUAUAUGUUCAGAAUUUUGUAAUUUGAUUUACAAAUAUGAAUAUCCAAAUUUUUUUAAAAAAAUUAUUAAAAACAAAAAAAUAUUUCGCGUUAGUAUAUUGGACACGAGUUUAAAUUAUCAGCCUACUUUUGAAAAAAAAUCCAGAAAUAUGUUAUAAAAAAAAAAUUCCAAAUGUAAUUUUACAUUACCUUUAUUUGAUAGCAUUUUCGUCUUUUCAUAUAGAAAUUCAGUGAAAUUAUAUAUUGAUGUAGAAAGUAAUUGGCGAAGGUUGGUCCUAAGCGAGGUUCUAGCGUCCGUUUUCUAUUUUUAUUUAUUUAUUUAUUUGAAACAUUAUUUGUUAAUUUGAAGCAUUGUAAUAGGUUUUAGGAGGGAAGAAGCAAAGAAAUGAAUGAAGAAAGGUUGUACUGAAAAGUAAAUGGCGAAAGCAAACCUUUCGAGUCUCGUUCACGAACUCCGUGAACGCAUAGCUGCUUCCUCUUCCACUCCCACUCCCAACAACCCCUCAGACGACGUCGCUUUGGAGGUCCGGUUCCGUACCGUUCUCCCCAACCUCCUCCACGCCUACGUUCUUCCUUCUUCCUCCUCCUCCUCCGGUACCUCUCACUCCGAUCUUCUCCUUCUCCUUCUCCUUCUCCUUCUUCUUCUUCUUCUUCUUCUUUUUCUUCUUCUUCUUCUUCUUCUCAUUCUUCUUCUUCUUCUUCGUAUUAACUAUGAAUGCAAUGUUACUCACUAUUACUAUUACUUGCCAUUCCUUCUUAUCUCACUCUCAUUAUCAAUGCAGGCAACCAGAGAGAAGUGAUUGCUGUCGUGAAGCUUAUCUCUCACACCGCCAGAAACUUCCCCGGAGUAUUCUACCACGGCAAGCCCUCCGCCGUUUCGCCAAUCGUCGCGCGAAUUCUUCCAUUCUUUGCUCAACCUCUCUUCCGGUCUCUCGCUCUCUCUCAACUACUCGCUCUACUUUUAUUUUCCUUGCUCUAUUCUCUUCUCACUCCUCUCCCUAAUUUCAGAUCUCGCCACGGCGUCUUCUUCGAAGCUAUCGGUUCUCUUCUCGCGCUGCUUCGCUCCGGAGCCAGAGAUGCUUACCGCCAGUUUUUCGUCGAUUCCAUGUCGCUCAUUCAAGGUAUGAAGCUACGCGUAAAUUACAGUUAUGAACUCCACGUGUUUGUUGCGGUAGUUCGAAACUAUGUUUCUGUUUUAUUGUGUAUGAUGAAUUGAUGUGAUAUGUAUGUAUGCUAGUUUUGUGUGUGUGAUGAAUUCACGGUGAUGUGUUUGGUUUUUGCAAUCGCAGAUACUUUGUACGUGGCUUCGCUCGAUGUUAAUGGAUCCUCCAGGGUGACGCUCAAGUGCUUUUGCGAGUUCUUUUCUGGAGUUGAAGACCUUCCGUCCGACAACAAGCCGGCUGAUGGCUGCGGUUUACUGGUUGACCUCACUGGCCGCAGCCGAUGGCAACCGUUUGCAACGUGGAUUUUGAAGCUUCUCAGUAAAUGUCUCACUGAAGGAACGCUUUAUGUUGAAGGAUUGAUCCAUGCGUCCUUUAUUUCUGCUGCGUGCUCUCUUUUAUGCUAUGGGGACGGUGACCUGCAUAUGGUGUGUAAUGGUUGACGAAAUUUAGAAUUUGAGUUUGAGUUUUUCACUUGAUUUUACUUACGUUAUUUUCUGGGCGAUACAAAUUAUUUGACUAUUUGUGACGUUAUGGAAGGCAUGCUUUGACUUUGUACACAUCAUUGGAACGGUGACAAACUAUGAUGUCAUUCCUUAUCAGAAUUUAAUCCUGUCAAUAACUACUAUCUUGGGUAUGGACAAGGAGGGGCUUCCUGUUUUCAGGUUUGGUUUUUAUUUAAAAAGAAAAAUCAUGUACUUGGCUUUAAUAACAAACUAUAUUCCAUUAGAUUCUUACGUUUGCUGCAUUUGUAUAAAUGUAGAUGACCUUAAUUAUAACUUUUUUCAGUAUACGAGAUUGCUUAUUAACAAACAUUAGGAUUCUACACCUGCAGAAACAUGGCUUAUGAUUCCUCGAUGGGUAUUUGCCUUAAUACACUCUACUCUAGCUGUCCAGAAGAUAUUGUAAAAUUAAACGCUGCUGAUUUAGUCAAUGUAUUCCUUCAAUCGUUGGGGAGAACCAAAAGCCAUCAACUUAAGGUUAAUAUCGAUACUUAAAUUUUCUUAGACCAAUUUAGUUAACUGGGAAGCUAUUCAUUGAUUCACUUCUCAUUCCGGAAUAUGAUGAAUUUGAGCUACUGAAUGGUUGAGUUUGAAGAGGAUCUGAUAGAAGUCCUUUCAGGUUGCAUUAUGCAGUGCCUAUGCUAGGAUUGCUCAAGUUUGUCCUCCUCAUAUCUGGAAGCCAGAAUAUCUCAUAUCUGCACUUUAUCAUUCGGAACCAUGUUUGCCUUUGAUAGAGUGCUUCGAGGUAGCUCUAUCUACUCUUGGCCCACAUUUUGUUAGGGGAAUCCUAGGAAACAACGAGGAUUUAACUGUGUUAGCAUCUGAAGAUACGUCAACCGAAAGCACGAGGCUUGGCCAAAAGAGGCCUAUUCGGGAUAUGGAUAUUUUAAGUAUGAAGAGACAAAAAUUGAAUGAAGAAAUUGUUGUUGCUGAUGCCAGUCUUGACAUGGAAUGUAGAAGUGGUUAUAUAGUUACUUGCCAAACUGUAGAAGGUUAUGCUAGCCAUAUGAAUAAAUCUCUUAUUUCAUUUGUUGAUUCAUUAAAUGCUCCUGCUGUCAGACCUGGUUCUUUGAGGCCAGAAAUUGCUUUAUCUGCACUUAGCAUUUUGUGCAUUACCUUCUCUAUUUAUCCAGAGAUUGAUCUGUCUCUCAGAAUCUUUCAGCAGAUGCUUGCAUGGCUUCCAUGGAUAGCUGAUCAGGUUGGUACUGUUUCAAAUUUCUGUUAUAUAUAUAUAUUUAUAUAUAUUUUGUUUCCAAUAAAUUAACUUGCUGGUGUUAUAGGCAAAACAAGGAAAUUCAAUUACUGUAGAUAUUUCCACAUACUUGGAAGGAAUUCACAGUGUAUUGCUUGAGCAAAGUAAGCUUUACCUUGCAUAUAUUGAUACCGUCAUUUAACUUUUCCUUUCCUUAGCAAUAAAAUGUUAUACUUCUUCCCAGCUGUUUAAAUUACUGUGCUUAUUUGUUUGAUGGAAAGUUAUAAGGACUCUCUGCAUUCUCUUAGUGGUUAGAGUUGGAUCCCAUAUCGUAACCAGAUUAUAAUAAGUGAGGUGCAAACCUUACCUUACAAGCCGAUUUUGUGAAGUUUAGUUAGGUAUAAAUCCACUUACUAAAAUGGUAUCAGAGUCAUUUAGAACCUAUCAUAGUCAAGUUCUUUGGAGCUAUUAUGCCACCGUUAUUUGAUUCCGACCAUCCAUAAAUAUAUAAUCAAACCUCGAGAUGUUCAUUCCUCGACGUUAGGGGUGUGUUACCGAUCUCACAUCGACUAAGAAUAAGACCUGUUAAGCAUAAACACACUUUACCAAGAGUCAGAAUUGAAUAUGAGAAUUCUUUUACAUAUCCUUUAUUUUUAUUUACUCUACUUAUAUCAUAAAUUUGUGGUGUUUGGUAGUUCAUGCUUAUGAUUUGUAUCACUUUGUAAUUUUUCUCAAUCAGAUGCAUCUCUCGAAGAACACAACCCUUUAGAUGAUGAGAAGUACCAUGUAGACCUCACACUUGUGCUUAAACUUCCCUGGACUCAUAUGUCUGUUGCUAUUGAUAACCAUUGCCCAUGGAAAACAAAAUGCCUUGCUCUUCAAGUAGUAUCAAAGCUAGGCCCAAGCUUGAACAGAAAAGUUGUUCUUGAAGUUUUAGAUCUGGGUCUUCGUGAUGAAGUUGAAGAAGUCAGAACUGAAGCCGUCAUUUCUAUGCCAGUGAUGGUUUUAUGGUCUGUUCUUGAUAUACCAUCUCAUGUUUUUGAAAGGAUGGAGUAAGUGAACUGUGGAUAUUUUCUGGUACAUAAUUUCAAGAAACAUGUUGGUCAGAUUUGUCAUUCAGUUAGUUUGAAUACAGGCCCUUGAUUAACUUGAAGUUACUCGUUAGAUUUAAAAUCUGAAUUGCAGGAGCUGAUUGAAAGAAUUUAUUUUAUUUUAACAUUAUUAAGUAUGGAUAUAUGGUGGAAGUAAAGCGUAAAUUAGGUUUGGAUAAUCUAUACCUAAUGAGCUAGUUUUUUGGUGUUGACUUAGACCCAGCUCCAAUUCAAGAGUUUUCAACAGUUUUUUCCAUUCCUAAUUUAUUAUAGUUGAUCCUUGUUCUUAAGCAAGUUUUUUAUUUUCCCCAUCGUGUAUGUAUUUGUUAUUUUUUUUGCAUCAGUUGGAAGUGUUUGGUUGUGUGUCUGAAUUAAAUUUUGAAGAAACAAAUCCUCUGGUAACCUGGUUUUUUUGCUUUUUCCUAUCCAACACGCAGGUACUUAAAGAGAGAUAAUGAGAAGGUUAAGAAACUUCUUCCCACAUCUCUUGGUCUACUGUCAUGUAUUUAUGGAUGCAAAAGAUCUGUAUCUGAUUCAAAUAUAAACGAAUGCAAAUUAUUUGUAAAUGUGAAAAGUGGAAGAACGUGUUCGACAGUAGAUUGUUUACUGCAAGGUUUCUUCUGUUCAAAAUGCAAUGGCAAUUUUAUUUGCAAUCUAGAUGAGAAGCAAGCUCCAAUCAUUCUCCGUUCUGGUACACAUGGAGUAGAUCCAGAUUUUAGUUUUGACCAUACUUUCAUUCAACUACAAUCUUUAUUUUUUGAACUUCUAUUUGAUGAGUCAUCCGAAGAUGUCCAAAUUUCCUGUGUGAGAGUUAUUCAUCAGAUCCUUGCACACGGAGCUUCUGAUAUUCUGCUAAAAACAAGAUUGAAGUGGAUAAAAUGUUUGGAGUUUCUUCUUACUUGCAGGAGCAAGGAAUUGAGAGAAGCAUUUUGCAGUCAGAUUAGAUUCUUUGUGGAUGAUCUUAUUUUGAGUUCAAUUUUUGCUGGAGAUGCCGAUAAAAGCAAGGAAGAAAAAUUUCUAGAUAAAAUUAAACAUGCCAUGACCAUUGCUGGUAGUCCACAUAUAUUGGAGACUUUAAUGGAAUGUACAGCAGAAAUAAUGGUUGCUGUCAAUAUAGAUAGCAAACUUUUUUUAUGUUCUCUUAUACUGCUUGUUGAUCAACUUGAUAGCACACACAUGACUGUAAGAAUGAAUGCAUCACGGUUAAUACACAGAUCUUGCUAUUUCCAUCUUAAAGGAGGUCUCGAGUUAAUUCUUUCAAAAGAUGUUCGUAUUUGUAGUGAACUGUAUGAUUAUCUCUCUGGAAGACUUGCCAGCCGCCCAAUCUUAGUGAGAGAGUUUGCGGAAGCUGUUUUUGGUGUUGAAACCAAAGAACUUGUCAAAAAAAUGAUUCCUUUUGUUCUCCCAAAGCUUGUUGUGUCUCAGCAUAAUAGUCAAGCAGUUGACACCUUAUAUGAGUUAGCCAAGUGUUUGAACACUGACAUGGUGCCUCUGGUAGUUAAUUGGCUACCAAAAGUUCUUGCUUUUUCUCUUCAUCAAUCCGAUGACCAACAAUUAAUUACUGCCGUGCAGUUUUACCAUGCACAGACGGGUUCUGACAAGAAGGAAAUAUUUGCGGCUGCUUUGCCUGCUCUUCUAGAUGAACUUGUAUGCUUUACAGAUGGUGGCAAUUCAGAUGAGAUAACUAGAAGGUAAUUUGUGUAUAUUUCUGAAACUUGGUUUUAAUUUGGUUCGUAAGUGGAAAACUUUCAUACCUGGAUAUUAAUCUUUGAAAUUUGUGUUUUUGUUGGAAACUAUGACACUGUCAUCUCUGAUUUAGCUAUAUCAAGGAUUAUUAUGUAAGGGUUGUUUGUUUCACGUUAUCUUUUUUCAUUUCUGGGAAUGUGAAGAUGGGACUAAAUAUUCCCACCUUUGUUAUAAGGUUAUAAAAAUAUAUUCUCAGGUAUAUUUAUUCUCAGGAAAAUUAGGCCUUCACAUUUUUUUUUAUUCCCACAGGAAUGGUGUUAUUGUCUACAACAACUACCUAUUCCCACUGCAUUCUCUUACUUUCUUUUUUAUAUUAUUUUUGUUUUUCAAUUUUUUAAUUAAAUAAAAUUUAACUUUUUUUUCUUAAAUUUAUUGAAUACCAACCAAACAUGUUUGUGGGAAUAUCAUUCUUGGUAUAAUUUCCAGAGAAUAUGAUUCCUGGGAUUACAAAAUCAUAACAAAAGCCCCCUAAUUUGUUUUUAUAAAUUCUUGAUUGGCCAAAUUGGUUUGUUUCACUGUGGAAAUUUCUUUCUUGAUUAGCAACUUUAUUAAAUCUCACAUUUCUUUGGGGUAUAACCUUCCAUCAUAAACCAAACAAGGAUUCAUACCUUAGUGCAGAGUUAUAAUGAAAAAAAUUGCAAUGGAAGUACGUAGAAGUUUUGCUUGUCCUUGAUUCAUCAUUCUUCUGUUUGUUGACAGGUUAGCAAGAGUGCCUCAUAUGAUUAAAGACAUUGCUAAAGUUCUCACUGGUGCAGAAGAUCUCCCUCUAUUUUUGAGGAAUCAUUUUGUAGGCCUUCUUAACAGUAUAGACAGAAAAUUGCUUCAUGCUGAUGAUUUUAUGCUUCAGAGGCAAUCACUGAACCGUAUUGAGUUGCUGAUUAGGAUGAUGGGUUCUCAUCUUAGUACUUAUGUGCCAAAAUUGAUGGUUCUUCUCAUGCAUGCUAUAGUUAAAGAGCCACUGCAAAAGGAGGGUCUGUCCGUCUUGCAUUUUUUUAUAAAGCAAUUGUCUAAAGUAUCUCCAGCUAGCAUUAAGCAUAUUAUUUCUCAAGUUUUUGCUUCCCUCCUACCCUUCCUGGAGAGAGACAAAGAAAAUCCCUCAAUACAUUUGGACAAAGUGGUAACAAUUUUAGAAGAACUUGUUCUUGAGAAUAGGGUUAUCCUAAAGCAGCAUAUAUGUGAGUUUCCCCCAUUGCCCAGCAUUCCUGCUUUGACAGAAGUGAACAAAGCAAUUGAGGAUGCUCGUGGAACUAUGACUUUGAAGGACCAAUUGCGAGAUGUUGUUGAUGGUUUAAAUCAUGAGAACUUAAAUGUGAGGUAUAUGGUAAUGUGUGAGCUUCGCAAGCUUCUGGACUCAAGAUGGAAGGAUGUUACUGAUCUGAUAACUGCUGAAGCUGGUUCAGACUUGGAUGUCUUGAGUUCUUUGAUAACAUCAUUAUUAAGAGGAUGUGCAGAAGAAUCAAGGACCACUGUUGGGAAGCGGCUGAAGUUAGUCUGUGCUGACUGUCUUGGAUCCCUUGGUGCUGUUGAUCCUGCAAAAGUAAAAGGUUUUUCAUGUCAGCGUUUCAAAAUUCAAUGCUCUGAUGAUGACCUCAUAUUUGAACUGAUACACAAACAUCUAGCUCGAGCAUUUAGAUCUGCACCCGAUACUGUUAUUCAAGACUCUGCUGCAUUGGCUAUACAGGAGUUGCUAAAAUUUGCUGGUUGUGAGGCAUCGUUGGAUGAAAGUGCUCCAACCACUACGUCACAGACACAAAAGGAUGAAGAUAAUCGCAAAGCUGUUGUAUCUAAGAUUAAGAGUACUAAUGGUAGUAAAGGGAUGAAUAACAGGGGCCAUAAAUUAUGGGAUCGGUUCUCUAAUUAUGUGAAAGAGAUAAUAGCCCCAUGCUUAACAUCUAGGUUUCAGCUUCCUAAAGUAGCUGCUGAUUCAACAUCUGCUGACCCUAUUUACCGCACAUCUAUGUCCUUUAGAAGGUGGAUAUUCUGUUGGAUAAGAAAACUAACUGCACACGCUACUGGGUCUCGUGCAAGCAUCUUUAAUGCUUGUCGUGGUAUUGUGCGUCAUGAUAUGCAAACAGCCAUAUAUUUACUUCCGUACUUGGUUCUCAAUGCUGUUUGUCACGGUACUGAGGAGGCACGUCAAGGCAUAGCAGAAGAAAUCCUGUCUGUUCUCGAUGCAGCUGCAUCAGAGAACAGUGGCGCUUCAGUUCAUGGAUUCAGUGGUGGUCAAAGUGAAGUUUGUAUUCAAGCAGUGUUUACUCUUCUUGAUAACCUAGGACAAUGGGUGGAUGAUGUUGAACAGGAGCUUGCCCUUUCCAGUUCUCAACCAUCAGUUUCGAAGCAACAAAAGUCAAAAGUCCAAAAUUCAAAUCCAUUUACAGAUCAGGUCCAACCCCUUUUACAGUGUAAAUAUGUUUCAGAGCUUCUGUCUGUGAUUCCAAAGGUGACUCUUGCUAGGGCCUCCUUUAGGUGUCAGGCUCAUGCAAGGUCCUUGAUGUACUUUGAGUCUUAUGUCAGGGAAAAGUCAGGUUCUUUCAACCCUGCUUCUGAGAGGAGUGGCAUCUUUGAGGACCAAGAUGUUUCACAUCUAAUGGAAAUAUAUAGCUGUUUGGAUGAGCCAGAUGGACUAUCCGGCUUAUCUUGUUUAAGUAAAUCAUUGAGGUUACAAGAUCAGCUGUUAAUGAACAAAAAGGCUGGGAAUUGGGCUGAUGUUUUAACUUCUUGUGAACAAGCUUUGCAGAUGGAGCCUACCUCAUUUCAGAGGCAUUCCGAUGUCCUUAAAUGUUUAGUAAAUAUGUGCCACCUUCAGGCCAUGGUCACUCAUGUUGAUGGUUUAAUUUCUAGGAUUCCUCAGUACAAGAAAGCAUGGUGCAUGCAAGGUGUGCAGGCAGCCUGGAGGCUUGGCCGGUGGGAUUUGAUGGAUGAGUACCUUGGUGGAGCUGAAGAAGAUGGUUCGGUUUGUAGUAGCUCUGAAAGUAAUACUUCAUUUGACUUGAAUGUUGCCAUGAUUCUCCAGGCAAUGAUGAAGAGGGACCGUUUCUCUGUCGCAGAAAAAAUCGCUUUAUCCAAGCAGUCACUAAUUGCUCCCCUUGCUGCUGCAGGAAUGGAUUCUUACAUGCGAGCCUACCCAUUUGUUGUAAAACUGCACUUUCUACGGGAAUUGGAGGAUUUCCAUUCUGUACUGGGUAAUAAUUCUUUCUUAGAGAAAUCUUUUCACUUAGAUGAUCAAGCUUUCUCUAAAUUACUGGACAACUGGGACAAUCGACUCAGGUUUACACAGUCAUCACUCUGGGCUAGAGAGCCUCUCCUGGCUUUCAGAAGACUGGUAUUUGGUGCAAGCGGCCUUGGUGCUCAAGUUGGCAAUUGCUGGCUUCAAUAUUCGAAACUGUGUCGCCUGGCUGGUCAUUAUGAAACCGCCAAUAGAGCAAUUUUGGAAGCUCAGGCCUCUGGUGCACCUAAUGUCCACAUGGAAAAGGCAAAACUUCUCUGGAGCACACGGCGGUCUGAUGGUGCCAUUGCAGUGUUGCAACAAUCUCUCUUGAACAUGCCUGUUGAGGUUUUAGGUUCUGCAACAAUAUCAUCUAUUACUAGCUUGUCCCUCUUACCACUUAAUCCACAGCCAAUUGUUUGUGAAAGUCAGGCCAUGAAUGAAAAUAGAGACAUUGCGAAGACCCUUCUUCUGUACUCUAGGUGGACUCAUUACACUGGACAGAAACAGAAGGAAGAUGUAAUAAAUCUUUAUACCAGGGUGAGGGAAUUGCAGCCCAAAUGGGAGAAAGGGUACUUUUAUAUUGCUAAGUAUUGUGAUGAGGUACUUGUUGAUGCCAGGAAACGACAGGUGGAGAAUUUUGAACUUUGUCCUAGACCGAUUCCUUCAGCAACUGUUGCUGCUGGCUCAUCAAACCUGAAUGGUGAGAGGCGGUGGUGGUCCUAUGUUCCUGAUGUACUGUUAUUCUAUGCAAAAGGACUUCACAGGGGACACAGGAAUUUAUUUCAGGCACUUCCAAGGUUAUUAACCCUGUGGUUUGACUUUGGAAGCAUGUAUCAAAGAAGUGGUUCAUCACACAAGGAUUUAAAGACUGUACAUGCGAAGGUGAGUUAGGGAAAUUUCUUCUCUCUACUGCUUUCUUUGUGUUCAAUACAUGGAAAUUCUUAUUUUGCAAUUGUAGUUUUUAUACUGUGCUUUCUUUUCUUUUACUCUGGCAGGUAAUGAGUAUUAUAAGAGGCUGUUUGAAGGAUUUACCAACAUACCAUUGGUUGACAGUGCUACCUCAAUUGGUUUCAAGGAUUUGUCACCAGAAUGAAGAGAUUGUUCGACUGGUCAAACUUAUCAUUACCUCUGUUCUCCGCCAGUAUCCACAACAGGGCCUGUGGAUAAUGGCUGCAGUUUCAAAAUCCACUGUUCCUUCAAGGCGGGAAGCAGCAGCUGAAAUCAUACAAGCUGCUCGUAAAGGUUUCAGCCCAGGAAGUAAGGAGAACAGUUUAUUUGUUCAAUUUGCUACACUGAUUGAUCAUCUGAUCAAGUUAUGCUUCCAUGCUGGUCAGUCAAGAUCAAAGACAAUCAAUCUCUCAACUGAAUUCAGUUCUCUGAAGAGGAUGAUGCCCCUUGGAAUUAUAAUGCCAAUUCAACAAUCUCUUACUGUUAAUCUUCCAACAUAUGAUGGGAAUCUGGGCGAUUCACGUAUGUCUAAUAUCUUUUCGGCUACAGAUCUUCCUACUAUAUUAGGCAUUGCUGAUGAGGCAGAAAUUCUUUCUUCUCUUCAGCGGCCUAAGAAAGUAAGCUAAUGAUUUUCUACCUUAAUAUUUUUGUCUGGUUCUUGAUAUGCAGUUCACUUAUUUUAAAUGCAUGGUGCGGUAUAACACUGUUUUUGGGGUUUCCACAUAAUAUCAAUUGAGCAAGCAUCAUAACUCAGUGGACCAAAUUAUAAUAUUGGUACUUCUUGUUGUAUACCUUUUUUUCGGUAGCAUCAGUGUAACUUGAUUGUUGGAGGGGCCAAUUGGGCAGAGUAUUGUGAGCAUGUGGCAUACUACAAGCAUUAGUUGUUCUCUAAUUAGGAGAAAGUGACUGGGGAUAAGAACUGCAUGGAAAUUCUUUUGGGGUUGCAUUCCAAUUAUUGAUAUUUGAUCGAGAUUCCUAACAAGAAUUUGGCCUUGUAUUUAUUUGCAAAGAUCUCAUUACUGUAUUCCUUCCACUGGACCAUUUUUUACUUAGUAGAGUUAUCGAUUUUCAUUAAAUGUUAUUUGCUUAAGAUACUGGAUAGGUCUAAAGAACUUGUUUUCCCAAUGAACCCACCAAUAAAAAAUGCCACUAUAUUGUUGUCUUGUAUCUUGUGUUCACCAUCUUUUUACUCAAUACCUUCGAUUUCAGAUUGUUCUAUUAGGCAGUGAUGGUCUUGAGCGCCCAUUUCUUUGCAAACCAAAGGAUGACCUUCGCAAAGAUGCUCGCAUGAUGGAGUUCACUGCAAUGAUCAACCGAUUGCUAUCCAAAUAUCCUGAGAGUCGUAGAAGGAAGCUCUAUAUUCGAACAUUUGCUGUGAUUCCUCUGACAGAAGACUGUGGCAUGGUAGAGUGGGUGCCUCAUACUAGUGGACUUCGGCAAAUUCUUCAAAACAUCUAUAUUACCUGUGGAAAGUUUGAUAGGCAGAAAACUAAUCCUCAUAUUAAACAAAUUUAUGAUCAAUGUCAAGGUAAAAUGCCAGAGGAUGAGAUGCUAAAGAACAAAAUCCUUCCAAUGUUUCCUCCCGUUUUCCACAAAUGGUUCCUGAAAACGUUUUCAGAGCCUGCUGCAUGGUUCAGGGCCCGUGUUGCUUAUGCUCACACGACUGCAGUUUGGUCUAUGGUUGGGCAUAUUGUGGGACUGGGUGACCGGCAUGGUGAAAAUAUUCUUUUUGAUUCUACCACUGGCGAUUGUGUUCACGUUGAUUUCAGUUGCUUAUUUGACAAAGGAUUGCAAUUGGAGAAGCCUGAGCUUGUUCCUUUUAGGCUAACUCAGGUAAUAGAAGCACAUAAUUGGAAAAUAUUUUGUAAUCAAUCAUAAUAUUGUAUUUUUCCCUCUGAUGGCCAUAGAAUCAUGGGCCGCUAUUAGUGUAAGUCUUACUUUUCCAGGCUAUUGCAGAUCCUACACUUAAAUCUUUGGGGAAAAAUUCAUCACUACUUUGAAAUAAAGAUUCAUGACACCUAUCAACACCUAGCUUUGCUAAAUAUUUUUGUUUCUCAUAUUUAUGAAUGCUUGCAUAAAUGUCCUAACGGAUUGCAAAAUAACCUACAGAACGUGAUCGAUGGCUUAGGUAUAACUGGAUAUGAGGGUAUCUUCUUGAGGGUUUGUGAAAUUACACUUUCAGUGCUGAGGUCGCACAGGGAGACUCUCAUGAGUGUGCUUGAAACUUUCAUCCACGAUCCUCUUGUGGAAUGGACAAAAUCUCACAAGUCCAGUGGUGUAGAAGUGCAGAAUCCACAUGCACAGGUUUGGUAUUCAGUUUUUGUUUUCAUAUUGUUAAUGUAAUAGGUUUUAGCACCAUCUGAAAUUUAUCAUUUUCAUGGAGGAUAGUUUAGAUGAAAAUAAUGUUGAAAAAAAUCCAAUUUAUAUGCCUGUUAUUUUGUAUCCAAUUAAGUAGAUAGUGGAUUCCUAUUUCUGAUAUCAGAUUCCUUUAAAGCAGAUAAUUGUUGCAAGACACUAGAGCAAUUAAAUAUAAUUGUUUCUUUUAUGGAUUUUAUCAGAGAGCAAUUAGUAAUAUUGAGGCAAGGUUACAAGGAGUGGUUGUUGGGGUUGGAGCUGCGCCAUCAUUGCCACUUGCUGUAGAAGGUCAAGCUCGUAGACUAAUUGCUGAAGCAGUCUCUCACAAGAAUCUUGGAAGGAUGUAUAUAUGGUGGAUGCCUUGGUUUUGAAGAUUUGGAUGGGUAGAGAGAAGUUCUUUCCAUAUUAUUUCAGACAGGUACGCCAUGAUGUCAUUAGUUUCAUUUCCUUGGUUUAAUUUUUGAGUAUUUAUGUGGAUAGUCAAUCUACAAAUUCAACAAAUGAAAGAAGGGAUAGGAUACAUCUCAUCAAUUACCAAUCAUUUUACAAGAUAACUGCGUGGGUAGGAGCUAUUUAAUUUUCCACAAUCAUAACCUGACUUCUUCAAAUAUUGACUAGCUAAGAAUGUAGCCAAGAUGUUUUCCCUCAAAAAAAUAACAAAUUUGGACUCAGCCUGCUGAAUAGAACCCACCACAUAAGCUGUAGUAGUGACAUCAAUGCUUCUCCAUCUUCUCUCCCUUGCAUAUUUCUUCAAGCUUUCCUCAAUCCUUUUGUAAUGCACCUCUUCUUCGUCUUUCUCUUUCAUAUCUCUUCCUGCUUCUUUGGGAAAGGCCUUAGCCAAGCAUCUGGCUAAAACAACCCCAUCCUCUAAAGCACAACACCCUCCCUGCCCAAGGUCAGGAGUCAUGGGGUGGAGAGCAUCUCCAGCAAUGCAAACAUUGCCCUUACUAAUAUUCCCCAUCAUCAGAUCCCAGGGAUGUCUAUAUCGCAAUGGAGAUGAUAGAAAACCAUCUUCUUCCGUUUUUUCUAUGCAGUCUCUAACAUGACAUGGCGUGUUCUCAAGCUUUUUUAACAUAUGUUGUUUCAGUUUGGCAGGGUUCUCUUCUAGAUCUUUCUCUGCAAGGCAAUCAAAGGUGACAACCGUAAGCAUAUUUUAAAUGUCUUUACCAUAUCUAGUGAAUGAAUGAUAUGAUAUUUUCUCAAUAUAAGUUUCCACAGUAAAGAACUUGUGUUUGUGAAAAAUAACCUUGGCCGGUGGGUAUCCAAGUGAAAAACCAGUAGACCGUCUUUUCAUCACAAGGAAUAGCACCAGCUCGAAUACCUUUGCCAAAAAACCGGAUGGACUUGUGCUCAAACCCAUGGUUAGUCUUGAAGUCUGCACAACCCCUGAUUGAAUGUCUCCCAGUAAAAGAGGCCUCCUUGAAGCCUAGCCACUUUGCCACCAAGGAGUUCACUCCAUCACACCCAAUCAAUACCUUUUUCAAUUGCAAACAUCCAUGCAUUAAUUGAAGUUCAUUCAUUUGGAUUCAUAAUUGUUGUUUGCCUCUUAUACAUGAAAUAUCCUUGCUUAUUUCUCAUGACAUGUCACGCAUACUAUUUACCUUAGUUUUGAUGGUUGUCCCGUCAGCAAGAUGGAGUAUCUUAUAGAAGCCAGACUCCUCAAUAGCAACAACUUUUGACAAAUAUCUGACGGUGCCUUUUGGAAGCUCAUUGACAAGGACUUCCAACAUUGACUUCCUUUUAACACAUCGAAGUUCAAGAUCUCUACAGCAUCACAAAAACACCAAUCACAGAAAGAAUUUGGAUAAAAUUUAAGAAGCAUGGCAUUUUUCCAUCAGUCUCUAGAACGUAUAUAAAGUGAAUUGAAAGAUUUAGGCACAGUAAUUCAAAGAGUAUAGUUACU